rnacentral:lncRNA from 1 species
GGGUUGGUACUUUAUAUGCACUUAUGAAAAUAUAAUUAUCAUGUAAAACAUGAACUUAAUAAUAAAAAAAAAGUUGUUGUUUAAUGAGCCUUUUUGGGUGUAUUGGGACAUUUGUUGUUUGUCAACAUAAAAAGACAGCCAUGGGUAAAAUCAAAGGGCUUGCAUAAAUAAAAUGCGUAUGUUAAUGUUAGUCGACUUUAAUUCAAUAAACGGUCAUAAAUCUGACAAGUUCGUGCUUGUGUUUCAAUAUCUAUAAUUCAGUCAUGUUUUCUGUAUCAAUGGUUUCCACGAAUCUUGUGCUUUGGGUAUCAUUUACAGUUUGAAUUUCCUGAGACAAAGUCAUUGCAUAAAUAAAAAAGUCCGCGGUUUUCUGAUCACAGAAAUUUGUGACAAACCGCGAUUUGCAGUCUUGGAAACAGCGUUUUUCUCGUACCACCAAUAUUUCAUAUCAUUCUCGUUAUCAAUCUUUACUCUCGGAAGAUGAUGUUGUCAUCAUAGAGCAACGGAAAGGUCGACUUAAUCAUUUUAGUUAGAUUUACUCGAGGUACAAAACCGAAAUUUGAAACAGGAAGCAUUGAAUGAAACGAAAUUUUAACGGUUAUCGGUAACGGGAAUGAACAAAA